UACAGAGGGUGCAAGCGUUGUUCGGAAUUAUUGGGCGUAAAGCGCGCGUAGGCGGCUGUCUAAGUCGGGUGUGAAAGCCCCGGGCUCAACCUGGGAACUGCAUUCGAUACUGGACGGCUAGAGUAUGAGAGAGGGAGGUAGAAUUCCACGUGUAGCGGUGAAAUGCGUAGAUAUGUGGAGGAAUACCGGUGGCGAAGGCGGCCUCCUGGUUCAAUACUGACGCUGAGGUGCGAAAGCGUGGGGAGCAAACAGG
rnacentral:rRNA from 1 species